UGGAGCCACAGAGAAGAAAUGAGCAGC
rnacentral:piRNA from 1 species